rnacentral:misc_RNA from 1 species
GAAAUUCGAAUUAAUCAUACACGGAAUAAAAAGAUGGAAAACAAGGGAAAAUGAAUACAAUUUCUCAAGGGAAAACCCAAAGGAGAAUUCAAACAAACUGUCCCUAUAAACAUAGGGCAAUUAGUUUUUCUAGAACUUAGUAUCCUUCGGGCUUGUAAGCGAUGAAACUGAUGCACUGCACUUGACGAACAUUGUCGAAUCCGAUGAUACGGACCCAUGCCUGUGGGUAAGCCUUCUUUGCCUCCUGCACCUCAGCCAAGACCUGGGUUGCAUCAGUGCACCCGAACAUGGGCAACUUCCACAUGGUC